UACGUAGGGGGCAAGCGUUGUCCGGAAUCAUUGGGCGUAAAGAGCGCGUAGGCGGUCCGGUAAGUCCGCUCUGAAAGUCCGGGGCUCAACCCCGGGAGGCGGGCGGAUACUGUCGGGCUAGAGUCCGGAAGAGGCGAGUGGAAUUCCUGGUGUAGCGGUGAAAUGCGCAGAUAUCAGGAGGAACACCAAUGGCGAAGGCAGCUCGCUGGGACGGUACUGACGCUCAUGCACGAAAGCGUGGGGAGCAAACAGG
rnacentral:rRNA from 1 species